rnacentral:lncRNA from 1 species
GUGCCAAUAGUGAACCUUGUCCUUUGUUACCCAAUUUCUACAUAAAGAAAUAGUUUUUUAUAUGUCUUCUAUGUAAACUGUUUCUUUUUGUCCUGAACCUGCAUGGUCUUCGAAACUAGCACAGGACAGACAGGACAUGUCUUGUAAAAAUAUAUUCAGGUCUGUUGUAGAAAGAAAUGAAGAAUUAUUAAUUCCGUCCUGUAAAUGCCAAGCCC